AACCAGCACCUCAAGUGGUCAGGAGGAUUAUUGGGCCUAAAGCAUCCGUAGCCGGCUCUGUAAGUUUUCGGUUAAAUCCAUGUGCUCAACGCAUGGGCUGCCGAAAAUACUGCAGAGCUAGGGAGUGGGAGAGGUAGACGGUACUCGGUAGGAAGGGGUAAAAUCCUUUGAUCUAUCGAUGACCACCUGUGGCGAAGGCGGUCUACCAGAACACGUUCGACGGUGAGGGAUGAAAGCUGGGGGAGCAAACCGG
rnacentral:rRNA from 1 species